rnacentral:misc_RNA from 1 species
GAACGCACAUUGCGCCCUUUGGUAUUCCGAAGGGCAUGCCUGUUCGAGCGUCAUUUCACCACUCAAGCCUGGCUUGGUAUUGGGCGCCGCGGUUUGUCCGCGCGCCUCAAAGUCUCCGGCUGAGCUGUCCGUCUCUAAGCGUUGUGAUCCAUAUUCGCUUCGGAGUGCGGGCGGCCGCGGCCGUUAAAUCUUUCACAAGGUUGACCUCGGAUCAGGUAGGGAUACCCGCUGAACUUAAG